AACGAACGCUGGCGGCAGGCUUAACACAUGCAAGUCGAACGCACCGCAAGGUGAGUGGCAGACGGGUGAGUAACACGUGGGGAUCUGCCCAAUGGUACGGAAUAGCUCCGGGAAACUGGAAUUAAUACCGUAUGAGCCCGCAAGGGGAAAGAUUUAUCGCCAUUGGAUGAACCCGCGUCGGAUUAGCUAGUUGGUGUGGUAAAGGCGCACCAAGGCGACGAUCCGUAGCUGGUCUGAGAGGAUGAUCAGCCACACUGGGACUGAGACACGGCCCAGACUCCUACGGGAGGCAGCAGUGGGGAAUAUUGGAUAAUGGGCGCAAGCCUGAUCCAGCCAUGCCACGUGAGUGAUGCAGGCCUUAGGGUUGUAAAGCUCUUUCGCCGACGAAGAUAAUGACGGUAGUCGGAGAAGAAGCCCCGGCUAACUUCGUGCCAGCCGCCGCGGUAACAC
rnacentral:rRNA from 1 species